UUCAGGAACGGGAAGAGAUCUGCGGUCUACAGAAUGGGAGAGAUUUUAGAGCCAGACCUGGGUCUCUGAUUUGGUGAUGAUGUUACAGAUGGGGCAAAUCUUGGGAGAAUGGUGAGAAUGGUUUGCCAGUGAAGUUAAAACAGAAAUGUGGACACGGAACCUUGAGCCGCACUCAGCUGCUGCUAUGCUGACAUUUGCGUCUCCUUUCCACAGCCUGAGAUCUGCAACAAAUUCUUGCUCUCCACUCCCUCUGUUCCGGGAGGAUCUACCAGGAAGAAAUGGGGGAUACCCUGCCCCGGGGAGCUCAGGUCACAGCCUAUUUUUUUGAUAAUUGCCAAUCUGAUUCUCUGUGAGCCCGGAACUUCGGAACUUCGGUAUCUCCUACAAAUAAAGACAUUCUUCUCCAUCCCAACAACACAAUCAACCAAAUUAGAAAAUUAACCUCAAACCAUUAGACCGCCAUCAGACCUCAUCCAAAGUAUUCGGGUUAUGAAGUUGCUGGAAGGAACAACACAGAGCUGAAGCUGUGCUAUUCUCAGUGCAUCGCAUCAGGCGGUGCAAAUUCCAGUUUUUCCCUAUUCCUGAUUGAUGGUAGCUUUGCUUUAUUAAGAUGGUGUCCCUCAGGCUUCCCCAGUCUCAAGUUACCUCUUUUCUCUUGGUAAGUAAUAAAUAUUUUGUGUGGAAAAAUUUGAAACUAUGUAACCAUCCUAUUCGUCAACAA